GAUGAACGCUGGCGGCGUGCCUAAUACAUGCAAGUCGAGCGGACAGACGAGGCGUUUGCGCGUUUGAUGUUUGGGGCGGACGGGUGAGUAACAUGUAUGUCCCCUACCUUUAAGUCUGGCAUAAUUUCGGGAAACCGGAUCCAACCCGAGAUAAUCUUUCGCACCACAUUGUUCGUUGGAGAAUGUUGGCUUUGCUGUCACUUCUUGAUGGUCCUGAGCCGUAUUGGCUAGUUGGUACGGUAACGGCUUUCCACGGCUACGAUACGUAACCGAGCUGUCAGGGUGAUCGGCCACACUGGAACUGAGACACGGUCCAGACUCCUACGGGAGGCAGCAGUAGGGAAUCUUCCGCAAUGGGCGAAAGCCUGACGCAGCAACGCCGCGUGAGUGAUGAAGGUCUUCGGAUCGUAAAACACUGUUAUUAGGGAAGAACAGACGUGUAAGGAGCUGUGCACGUCUUGACGGUACCUAAUCAAAAAGCAACGGCUAACUACGUG
rnacentral:rRNA from 1 species